rnacentral:misc_RNA from 1 species
CCGUUGGUUGCGACAGUCGGUAGCGGCGCGUUCCAGGCGCCAGUCGCGGUAAUCAUGUAUCCUUUGGCGCGUUUACGUACCCCAACGCGAGCCGUCGCGACGACGACGGUUCCGGUGCUCUUUAUCCGCGUAGGUCUCGUAUCGCUCGCGUUUUUAUGGUGUCCGGUGUCAUGCCAGGAGAACAGCUUGACGAAUCGCAUGAGGGCGAUCAGCGAGGAUCUGGACCGGCAGCUGAACGAGAUCAUGGCUUCGCAGGCGCUCAGCUACUCAACAGUCAACACCGUCGGGCUGCCGUACAACGCCACCACCAAGUUCAAUCCGAAGGGUAUGGGCCAGCUGUACAAUGUGACAAAUAUGUUCAUCGACUUGGUGCAGAGCAAACAGGCGUAUCCCGAAGGUAUGAUCACCCUGGUUGACGGCGUGCCGGUUUUCGCGGACCCUCUGAAGGAGUGGAAGAUUAUAGUAACACAUUACGGAGGGCUGGCUGGUCUCGCUCUGAUUGGACUUCUCCUGGCAACUAUUCUCCCCUGCGCCGGUCUUUUCUUCUGCUGUUGCAGAUGCGCGGGACAUUGCGGCGCCCGAAGUCAGCCCUUCGACAAGAAGCAUGAUCACUGUAGGAAAAUAAUGCUUAGCAUCGUGCUAAUCGGAGUGGCUACCAUUUUGUUAUUCGGCGUGGUGUGCGCUUUCGUGACAAAUGAGUACAUGCAGGAGGGAACCAAAGAUCUUCCGUAUAACGCCAAGACUAGUCUGAAGGACGUCAAACUCUAUUUGACUACCACGAAACAAGAGAUCGACAAUUUGCUCAAAACCAAUCCCGAGGAGUUGGAAGUUACGCUGAACAAUAUUCUGCAGGCCAGCGGCAAAAUCGUUACCGAGCAACUGGCGGAAUAUUCACACGCCGUCUCUCUAACGAAUCUGAACGACAUCGUUGCUGGGUUGGAAUCAAUCCGGGAGGAUCUGAAAUUGAUGAACAAGAUAACGCAAGAAUUGCGAAUAAACGCCAGUCAAUUAGACAUUGUUGUUCGUGGCGUCAAGAAAAAUCUUCUCCAUACGCUGGCUGCAUGCACAACUGACAAGUGUCAACGGGUUCUACACGACUACAAAGUGAAUCAGAUGUCGGUACAAGUGGACUUUGAUAAAUACAUGGACCGUUACUUCCCAAAGCUGCCAGAUGUUACAUUCGCGUUGCACAACAUCACGGUGCUCAUGGAGGGCAAUAUAGUGUCAGAAGUGAGCCAAGGCAGGGACUCGUUUCUGAAGAUUCAGAAGGACAUUCAGCACGCCGUUAAUCAGACAAUACCUGUGGUCAGCGCGAGCAUCCGACGAGCAUGCGACUUCCUGGCGAGCAUCGCCAACAACAUGACUGCCAUCAUCGACAGAAUAAACGUCGACAUAGAUAGGGUUUAUAUUCGGCAUUUAGAAGUUGCCCGGAACAAUAUAGAUCAGUAUUCGCCCUAUAGGUACUAUCUUGGUCUGGGUAUAUCCGGUAUUCUUCUGACUGUCUUAAUGUGUUUAACGUGUGGCCUUCUCUGUGGUAUUUGCGGAAAGCGCCCGGACGGAUACGGAGACGAUUGCUGUAAUAAAGGAUCGGGUGCACGGUUUCUUAUGAUGGCUGUAUGGAUCAUCUUCCUUUUAACGAGCGUUCUGAUGGUUGUAACCGUCGUUCACAUGAUAACCGGCGUUAUGGCUCAACGCGGCAUCUGCGAACCAUUAAAGAAUCCGAAAGACAACAGGAUGUUCGAGCUGGUCGACGAGCUUGUGCAAAUCAAGAGGAUCCUCUAUCCUAAGAAUUCUAAUGCAAAUAUCAAUAUGAGUUAUAUUGUUACCAAAUGCCAUCAAAAUGAGACGCUCUACAACGUGCUGAAUCUGAAAAAUGUGUUCGAUGUUCAAAGUCUGCGCGAUUACGCAGGACGUUACGACAUCAACGAUACGAUUCAACAAUUGCGUCGCAAGAUCAGCCUCUCCCCCGGCGUGGUGAUUCUGAAAGACAGCGCGAGGUCGAAGCUGAACGAUUUGGCUCAGAGCGGUCUUAGCGACAUCAAAUUCUACCAGUACGCCGAGCUCCUCGCCGAAAACAUCACAAACAUUAACUUGGAACAUCUUGCCAAGCAAUUACGGGAAGUUUCCGCUAAAUUGCCGGAUGGACAGGAUGAAAUUAAGCUCAGCCUUGAGAAGAAUGCGCAUGACUUGGAACACUAUCACAGAGACCUGGUCAUGCCGAUGGCCACGCUCAGCGAGCAAUUAAGCGCGAACGCACUGACGCUUCAAGAGAACAUUAAAUUCAAUCAUAGUUCAAUGGCGGACGCUAUUCACGAUUUAGUGGAUGAAGUCACCAAGGCACAACAAUUUUUAAAUAAAGACGGACCAGAAUACGUUCAAUACCUCGCGACUAGAUUCGGCAAUGCAUUCUUGCAUCAAGUGGACAACUUCCUCGAACACGUGAUCGAGUCCGCGGUUUUCAAAAUCGGAAGAUGCGGUCCCGUUUCGAACGCUUACAACGCAACGCUCGUGGCAGGAUGUAACAAGGUCCUAGAUCCAUUCAACGGCUUCUGGGCGAGCGUUGGCUGGUGCUUGAUCCUAUUCAUACCGACGAUAGUGCUCUGUGUGAAGCUGAGCGCUCUGUAUCAAAAGUCAGAUCCAUAUCCAGGACCUCUGGUUGAAGCUGAAUAUUUGUAUGACGCGUACGCAGACAGGGAUAACAUACCCCUCGCCCACGUCCACGACAAGAAGCACUCCUCCCACGGCAGGCAUCAUCCCGCGGCGUACGUUGAGAGCUACGACGGCCCGGCGGUAGGAUACAGCGAGCGCGAGAGGAUUCCCGACGCUCAUCAGAGCACGUCGCAUCACGACUCGAGAUACGCCGACUUGGCGCCGAAGUGAGUGGGAACCCUGCGGGGGGGUCGACCUCUCGCGUCUCACGAUACGCCUCUGCACAAAUUGGGACUUCCCCAACGGUGGUCCGCCAAGGUAUCAACCAGCUGCCGGGGCCCCGCCUCCUCUAAGCACCGAAUAUGAACGACCACCUCCUUAU